UUUCUCUCUUAAUCUCUUAAAAUACACGUGUGUUGCCAUUUGCCACCUACCUUUCUUCUAGAUCCCUCUUUUUCUUCCUCUGUUCUCACUGAGCUCUUGAACGGUUGAACCCUAAUUUUUCUUUAACAGUCGCUUCAAAACUCCUGCACUUCUAAAGUAACUCGACAACCUUUGUGGGAUUGUUGCAGGUGGGAAAUCUUCUGCAGGCAUCGCAAACGGCCGCAACAUUUUCUCCAUCUUUUCUAGAGUAAGGUAUGACUAGCCAGGAGCUUUAAUUUGAUGUUCAGGUAAUUGCUAAUUUUGACAUAAGAAAAAAAAAGAAGUUUUAUAGUGAAGCCGCAUGUCAAGUUGCAACUUUAGGCUAUGUGAACUUAAUUUCAUAAGAAGUUUUAUGGUGAAGCCGGAGCUUUGUGUAAAAGAAAAAAAAAGAAGAACAACUUGGUCUAUACAUGUUCAUAUUCCUUCAAAAGAAUAACACGAGCGUGACAAUUGCGAACCAUUAUAUAUUCGGUAGUUCUUACCACCCCUGUUUUAGUUGAGCAUCAUAGUUUUUUCCACUUUUGGGAUGUAUUUGAAUUGAGUCGUUACUUGAGAAAAUCUUUAUCCAUUCCUUUGUAAAAAGAGCCUUUUGUUUUGAAGAAAUUGUAUUAUUAUG
rnacentral:lncRNA from 1 species